rnacentral:rRNA from 1 species
CCCUUAGACGUUCUGGGCCGCACGCGCGCUACACUGACCAGUGCAACAAGCAUCCGUCCUUGGCCGACAGGCCCGGGCAAUCUUUGAACGCUGGUCGUGAUGGGGAUAGACUUUUGCAAUUAUGGGUCUUCAACGAGGAAUUCCUAGUAAACGCAAGUCAUCAGCUUGCAUUGAUUACGUCCCUGCCCUUUGUACACACCGCCCGUCGCACCUACCGAUUGAAUGGUCCGGUGAAAUCUCGGGACGGCGGCUUGGUCGCUUGCGUCCGACUGCUGAAACUUGAUUAAACCAUAUCAUUUAGAGGAAGGUGAAGUCGUAACA